CUUUACUGCUCCUCAGCUGCAGUCUGACCGAGGGAACCAAGCUCGCAGGUGGACAGAGAGACUACUUGGCUGCUGAGUUUUGCACUGUACAUUCUACAGAGUCCGUGUCGGAAUAAAUAUGAACAGAAACUUCGGGUGCGACGACUCGAAGGGAGUGAGCACCACCCAUUACGAACAAACCGAGGUCGUGCAAGGAGGCGGUGAUGGAUGCGAUGGUGGAUACUCCUUUAGCUCUUCAGAGUCCUCUGGAGGCGGCAUUGGAGGCGGAAUGUCAGGCGGAGUGAUGCGCUGUGCGUCAAGCGGAAUGUCGAGCGGUAUGGGAGGCGGAAUGUUGAGCGGAAUGGGAGGCGGAAUGAUGAGCAGUUCGUCAAACAGAGUGGUGCACUCUUCGUCAAGCGGAAUGUCGAGCGGUAUGUCCAGCGGAAUGAUGAGCGGCAUGUCCGGCGGAAUGAUGGGAGGCGGAAUGUCAGGCGGAAUGGUGCGUUGUGCGUCAGGCGGAAUGUCGAGCGGCAUGUCCGGCGCAAUGAUGAGCACAAUGGGAGGCGGACUGUCGGCCUGCACAAUGGGAGGCGGAAUGAGCGGCUCGAGAUCCGUCCACCAAACCACGGUCGUGAAGAAAGCUGAAUACACUCUUGAGUCUGACUACAGCAACAAUGGGGGACUCUGCAAGUCUCCACUCUCACUGUUCCCACCCCACAUGUAAUACUUUUAAUAAUGCACAUGCAGCUGAAGGAAAUGGACGUGUUUCAGCUCUCUGCUUUCCUCAGCUUUCCUGACACAUUUGUGUGUGUAACUUCUCUUAAACAGCAACCAGUUGAUACAGAUCUUUAAACUUCAUCCUAAACCAGAUACUAGUAGCACAAUAACAAGCAAAACAAUGUCAUAAUUAUCAUUUUCUGUUCUGUUCGGGUUCUGAAAUAAAUGCAGGUAUUUACGGUUAAAUAACUGUCUUUGCAUAUGAUUAUUGUUUAUUCAAGUGUAAAAAUAUUGUACAUGCAUUUAUAUAAAGAUAAAGAUAUAUGUAAGCAAAUGUCUCUAUUAUUCUAACAUAAAUCCAUUACAUCCAUCCAUCCAUUUUCAAUACCGCUUAUCCUCAUUAGGGUCGCGGGGGCGCUGGAGCCUAUCCCAGCUGAAAUAGGGCGAAGGUAGGGGACACCCUGGACAGGCCGCCAGUCCAUCAAGG
rnacentral:lncRNA from 1 species